AAAUAAUGAAAAAUAGUACCUUUACUGUAUUUGAAAUAUCAAAUAGACAUUCAUAAUUUAUGUACACCUAUGUUCCCAGAAAAUUCUCAUACAUAAUAAACUCCUAAAUCAUACCUCAUUCUUUCCCAACAUGCAAACUAUUCAGAAUCCUAUGGAGGGACAAAUAUACCUUUAUUUUAAAAGUUAAUUCUGAGCACUGAAAAUAAAAAUAAAUGGUUUUCCAGUGUUGCAGGGACCAUUCUAACAAAACGUAACCAGUGACAAACGACGGCUUCCUCAACAGCCAGAACACUGUGCUCCUCUCCAUACGGCUUACUACUCUCUAAUAACCUGUUUAAUGCCACCAAUGUGUUUAAUACUGCUCUCCUCUAAUGUGUUUGCCCUGCCAGACUAUGAGCCCGAGAACAGAAACUUCCUGAUUGGUUCACCAUUAUUCUCCCUGCACCUAGAACAGUGAUGAGCUUCUGGCAGAUGCUGGCUGGACUGAUGGAUGGACUGUUAGGUGGAUGAGGCCCACUGUCCAGUGGGGCCAGUGGUUUACCUUCGAAUGACACAUCUACCUAAGAACCUGCUAAGCACAUGGGACUGACUGCAUGCUUCCCACAGUGCUAGCCCUGAGCAUUAUGAAUGUGUGGCCACCAGUGUUCCAGAUAUGAUUGAAGUCCCAAUCUAUAGCCUGAAGUGAACACCCUUGAUACUUCCCAACUCUUUCCCCAGAACUGUCACAAUGCCAGUGAGGAUAAACUUGUACCUCUUGGAACCUGAGAGACAGCAUGAAGUAAAUGGCACCAAGUGAUACAUACUCUUAUUUUGAUUCCGUUUGGUUUUGAGAUGGGGUCUCACUAUGUUGCCCAGGCUGGAUUCAAAUUCCUGGGCUCAAGCAAUCCUCCCACUUCAGUCUCCCAAGUAGCUGGGACUAUAAACAUGUGCCACCACCCCUGGCCACAGUCUUUGUUUUUUGGGGAUGCGGGGAGGCGACAGGGUCUCACUCUGUUAUCCAGGCUAAAGUGCAAUGGUGUGAUCAUGGCUUACUGCAGCGUCGACAUUUUGGGCUCAAGGCAUCCUCCCACCCCAGGCUCCCAAGUAGCUAGGACUACAGGUGCAUGCUACCACAUUCGGCUACAUUUUUUUUUUUUUUUUUUUUUUUUGGAGAGACAAGGUCUUACUAUGCUGCCCAGGCUGUAGCCUUAGGUAAAGUGCCUUCAAAGGCUCGUUUUAGCUUUGUCAUUUUAUGAAAAGUUGAUAUUCUACUCCCUAAGAUAUCCAUCUUUGUCUUCAGAUAAAAAUUAUUUUCCCAAGUCAUCAAGUUGUGCCAUGUUACCCAGCCUGUGGCUUGUAGUGUCCCUGACACACCCUUGCAUAACGCAGGGAGCCCCUGUGCCCUGUGUGAGAAGCACAGCGUGAAGAUGUUGUCCAUAAUAUUGUACAUGGAAAAGGUAACGUUAGCCCCCAUUAAUGUGGAUUCUCUCAUCUAAUUUCCUCUUUUCACCCAGCAAAGUGCCCAGUGACUGAGAAUGAGACAGAAGAUGAGGGCGUUUGAGGAUGAGAAGGAAGAGGAAAGUCAUCAGAGCCACCUGGAAGUAGAGGUCUGGUCAGGUUGGCCUGCUUAACCAAGAUGGCAGCCAGGGGAGUAGGAAGGAUGAAGACAUUGCACACAUUUGGAGGAAGAAACCAAAGCUGGCAUGAGAGGAGUCCUUUCCAGGGCUGUUCAAGGCAACAGGAUGCAGACUCCUCCCAAUGGGUAAACAUUGGAAGACACCAGGAGGGAAGCCAAGCCUCUAGAGAUUGCUCAGGAACCCAAACCACCCCAAAUGGAGCCGGAAGGUCUGUCAAUUCCCAGAGAGGGAGGAAAUGGUAAGCAAAUGGCAGCAGUUGCUUAGAAAAUUAGGGAAUGAAUAACAAUGCUUUCUGGUAAAUUAACCAUAUUACAUUGUGCAGGGGAAAGCGAUAGGAAAACCCUGUUAAAAAUUGAAUAAUAAUUUGCCCACAUCAUUUAUGCAAAAUGCAUAAUUUUCCUACUUCAGUGGACUUUAGUUUGAUUUAAAAGAUGAGCAGCUCUAGGACUAUUCACCAAAGCAUAAUUUGUAAGAUAAUUGGGAAGGGGAAGAGAAAUCAGACUGUAAUCAGCACAAUCUUUCGUAAGUCACUUCACCUUCCUCCUCUCACCUGCAAAUUUUGGAAAAUAUUUGUUUACCCUUUCCUGAAGUUCUCUAAAUGGAAGUGCAAAGCAUUAAUCAUUGUCAUUGCUACCACUAAACCAUGACCUCACCAUGAGAGGGGGGAAAGCCAUGUUUCAUUCUAUUCAGUAUUUUUCUGCUCUAAUUCAAAUAAGUACUUGUUUUGAAUAGUGGGGAAAAAAAUGGAAAUGUAGCAAAGCUAUAGUUAA
rnacentral:lncRNA from 1 species